AUAAACAAGGCAAUCCAACAAACUAAAAUUGACUGAGAGCUUGAAAAUCCAAAAAAAAAAAAAAGAUGGAAAGCCAGGGAUUAAGUUUAGAAAAUUACAUCUCAGCUUGGGGUUUGACAAAUUCCACCUGCAAUCAAAUGGUUCUAAGAGCUGCAGUUGACCUAAGUGUCUUCAAUAUCCUUUCCAACUCAGGGCCUGGAGCUCAUCUUACUGCGGAGGAAUCGCUUCUCGAAUUCCGACUGCAAAUCAUCCAAAUGCAAUGUUGAGUUUGGAGAGAAUGCUAAGGUUGCUGAGCGCAAUUGCCUCCUAUCUACAUCUCCAAGGCCAUGCCCCAGAUGAUAAGUCCAAGCAAGAAAGGACUUAUGCCCUAACAAAGGACUCGCUUUGUUUUGUUUCCAAUGAGAAUGGAGUUUCUCUAGCCCCAAUACUAAAGCUAUCAUCGAGCACUGAGUGCUUGAAGAGGGGUGCGAUCCUUUCUACAAGGCCCACGGAGAGACUACAUUCGAGCAUAUGUCAAAGAGACCUGAGCUUGGUCGAUUGUUCAGUGAGGCUAUGACCGCUUACUCUGCUAUAUGUUUUGAUCAAAAGGUAUUCACUGAAUAUAAAGGUUUUGAAGAGGUGACAGAGCUGAUGGACGUAGGAGGUGGCACAUGGGUAAUUCUCUUGCGAAAAUAGUAUAUCUAAAUAUCCCUACAUCCAUGGUAUUAACUUCGAUUUGCCUGAUGCUAUUGCCCGUGCUCCUAAAUAUCAAGGUGUGAAGCAUGUUGCGGGAAAUAUGUUUGAGUCAAUACCACAUGCUCAGUCGAUAAUGAUGAAGGUUCGGUUUUGCUUACUUUUAGUAGUUAUUGAAGAAAAUGUUAGCGGAACUACAUUUUACCAUCUCUUUAAUAGAGAUGGCCUCUGUUUGUAUUAAAAAAGUAGUACGAUGUGGACGUCGUCUCCUUAGCAUUACUCUUCAUCAAAACUACUUCAUGCAUGUUCACAAUAUGAAAAUUUGAUUUACCCUUGUGCUUUGCACUGGGUACUUCAUAACUGGGCAUGACGUGUGCAUUAAGUUGCUGAGAAACUGUUGGAAUGCGUUACCGGAAACUAGGAAGGUAAUAGUUGUGGAAUUUGUAGUACCUGAAGUACUGGAAAAUACACCAGAAACAAGGAACACACUCGCCUCGACAUGAUGAUGAUGGCCCUUUUUCCUGGGGGCAAGGAGCGAACAGCAGUUGAAUUUAAUAACCUAGCAAAAUCUGCAGGUUUUGUUGGAACAAAGCUUUUUCCAAUUUCAUAUGGAUAUCAUGCGAUUGAGUUUAUCAAGGGUAAACCAUUCAAAAAGUAGUGUGCAUCUGUGUGUGUAUUUAUAUACACCACAUCUCCUUCCUUUAUAAUGUGCUAGAUCUCGGGUUUCCUCGGUCCUAAAAUAAACUCUUGUACUACAAAAAAUUUAUGAAACUGAUACUCAAAUAAUAGUUUUUGUGAUCGGUGAUA